rnacentral:rRNA from 1 species
CGGCGACUACUGCUAUCAGGUUCCGACUAAGCCAUGCGAGUCAAAGGGUCGCAAGACACUGGCGUACUGCUCAGUAACACGCGGACAAUCUAACCCCAGGUGGGGUAUAACCUCGGGAAACUGAGGGUAAUUCCCCAUAGUUAUCAUAUGCUGGAAUGCUUUGAUGAUGAAAGUUCCGACGCCUGAGGAUGAGUCUGCGGCCUAUCAGGUAGUAUGUGGCGUAAAGGACCACAUAGCCUUUGACGGGUACGGGCCCUGAGAGGGGGAGCCCGGAGAUGGACUCUGAGACAUUAGUCCAGGCCCUACGGGGCGCAGCAGGCGCGAAAACUGUGCAAUGCGCGAAAGCGCGACACGGGAAGCCUGAGUGCCUUAACACAGUUAAGGCUUUUCUCAUGCCUAAAAAGCUUGAGGAAUAAGAGCUGGGCAAGACGGGUGCCAGCCGCCGCGGUAACACCCGCAGCUCGAGUGGUGGUCACUUUUAUUGAGCCUAAAGCGUCCGUAGCCGGUCUUGUAAAUCUCUGGGUAAAUCCUGCCGCUUAACGGUGGGAAUGCUGGAGAGACUGCAAGACUGGGGAUCGGGUGAAGCGAGAGGUACUCCUGGGGUAGGGGUAAAAUCCUGUAAUCCUGGGGGGACGACCGGUGGCGAAAGCGUCUCGCUAGAACGACUCCGACGGUGAGGGACGAAGGCUAGGGGAG